rnacentral:pre_miRNA from 1 species
AGCAAAAAUACUGGGUCAUAUGGUUACUCUGCAUUUGUCCUUUCGAGUAGUUGUCAAAAUGUUUUUCAAGGCUGCUGCACUAGUUUACAUUCCUACCAGCAGA